GUUUCAUAUUAUUCAGUCAGUUUUGCUGCCGUUCAAAACACAAGAGCAUCUUGAGGUCGCUGUGAGAAAAUGAUGUGAUUUUGAGUCGUACAAACACCGUAUACAGUUGUCACAGUCUUCAUUAGGGU